UAUAAAAGAAAGAAGUUGAGUCGUGGAGGGAGGAAAGAAAGAGAAAAGAAAGGACCAUCCACUCACCCAGGCAACUCCCACCCCCAGUCUCUGAAGUCUUUGAAGAUGAAGCCUUCUGGGAAGUUGGCAGUCCUGGGAGCCCAGGGCAAUGCUGAAAUGCCCUUCCAAACAAGGACCCAAACAGCUGAAGGGCUCCAGUUACCCAAGAGAAUAUCACACAUCAACUUAGAACAUAUUAAACAAGAUGGCAAGAUUAAUGAGCUUAUUCAAAAAAGAA